AUUGAACGCUGGCGGCAGGCCUAACACAUGCAAGUCGAGCGGAUGAGGGGAGCUUGCUCCUUGAUUCAGCGGCGGACGGGUGAGUAAUGCCUAGGAAUCUGCCUGGUAGUGGGGGACAACGUUUCGAAAGGAACGCUAAUACCGCAUACGUCCUACGGGAGAAAGCAGGGGACCUUCGGGCCUUGCGCUAUCAGAUGAGCCUAGGUCGGAUUAGCUAGUAGGUGGGGUAAUGGCCCACCUAGGCGACGAUCCGUAACUGGGCUGAGAGGAUGAUCAGUCACACUGGAACUGAGACACUGUCCAGACUCCUACGGGAGGCAGCAGUGGGGAAUAUUGGACAAUGGGCGAAAGCCUGAUCCAGCCAUGCCGCGUGUGUGAAGAAGGUCUUCGGAUUGUAAAGCACUUUAAGUUGGGAGGAAGGGCAGUUAGUUAAUACCUGACUGUUUUGACGUUACCAACAGAAUAAGCACCGGCUAACUUCGUGCCAGCAGCCGCCGUAA
rnacentral:rRNA from 1 species